GACGAACGCUGGCGGCGUGCUUAACACAUGCAAGUCGAACGGUAAGGCCCUUCGGGGUACACGAGUGGCGAACGGGUGAGUAACACGUGGGUGAUCUGCCCUGCACUUCGGGAUAAGCCUGGGAAACUGGGUCUAAUACCGGAUAGGACCACUGCCUGCAUGGGUGGUGGUGGAAAGCUUUUGCGGUGUGGGAUGGGCCCGCGGCCUAUCAGCUUGUUGGUGGGGUGAUGGCCUACCAAGGCGACGACGGGUAGCCGGCCUGGGAGGGUGACCGGCCACACUGGGACUGGGAUGCGGCCCGGACUCCUACGGGAGGCAGGAGUGGGGAAUAUUGCACAAUGGGCGCAAGCCUGAUGCAGCGACGCCGCGUGAGGGAUGACGGCCUUCGGGUUGUAAACCUCUUUCAGCACCGACGAAGCGCAAGUGACGGUAGGUGCAGAAGAAGGACCGGCCAACUACGUGCCAGCCGCCGCCGUAA
rnacentral:rRNA from 1 species